GAUUGAACGCUGGCGGCAUGCCUUCCCCAUGCAAGUCGAACGGCAGCCCGGGUGCUUGCACCUGGUGGCGAGUGGCGAACGGGUGAGUAAUACAUCGGAACAUGUCCUGUAGUGGGGGAUAGCCCGGCGAAAGCCGGAUUAAUACCGCAUACGAUCUACGGAUGAAAGCGGGGGACCUUCGGGCCUCGCGCUAUAGGGUUGGCCGAUGGCUGAUUAGCUAGUUGGUGGGGUAAAGGCCUACCAAGGCGACGAUCAGUAGCUGGUCUGAGAGGACGACCAGCCACACUGGGACUGAGACACGGCCCAGACUCCUACGGGAGGCAGCAGUGGGGAAUUUUGGACAAUGGGCGAAAGCCUGAUCCAGCAAUGCCGCGUGUGUGAAGAAGGCCUUCGGGUUGUAAAGCACUUUUGUCCGGAAAGAAAUCCUUGGCCCUAAUACGGUCGGGGGAUGACGGUACCGGAAGAAUAAGCACCGGCUAACUACGUG
rnacentral:rRNA from 1 species